GUGCUCGCUUUGGCGGCACAUAUACUAAAAUUGGAACGAUAGAGAGAUAAGCACGUCCCCUACGCAAGGAUGAUACGCAAAUUCGCAAAGCCAUUCCAUUUAAA
ensembl:snRNA U6 U6 spliceosomal RNA